rnacentral:rRNA from 1 species
UAGGUCGACCCGCUGAAUUUAAGCAUAUCAAUAAGCGGAGGAAGAGAAACCAACCAGGAUUCCCUCAGUAACGGCGAGCGAAGUGGGAAGAGCUCAGGCCUCCAAUCUCCGGCCGUGGGGUCGGCGAAUUGUGGUCUGGAGACGCCUGCUGUCCUCGCUCGUUUCCCCCGCCCGAAGUUGACCUGGAACGGUGCGUCGCASAGGGUGACAAUCCCGUAGGGCCGGCCGGGAAGCGAGUGGACGCGAGCUGGCGCUCGGCGAGUCGGGUUGUUUGGGAUUGCAGCCCAAAGCUGGGUGGUAAACUCCAUCCAAGGCUAAAUAGCGGCACGAGACCGAUAGCGAACAAGUACCGUGAGGGGAAAGUUGGA